GGAAAAAGAAAAAGAAAUAAUUAUAUUAUUAUUUUGUUUAAAUAAGGUCUUGUAGUGCGUGCGUUAUUAUUCACCUUCUCCCUCAUUGUGAAACCCUAAAUCAUCAUCUCCUUACCUUCAUCAAAGGAAAUCCCUACUCGCCGCCAAUCAUCUCCGUGGCGCGUCCUCUUGUCGGUUCUCUUUCUCUGUCAUCGCCCACUGUAAAGCUUCAUCGUGUAGUCACCGUCCGCGUUCUUCUUCCGUCAAUAGUUCGUCGUUGUUGUAAUUCAUCGACGCAUCUUCCGCUGAGCUCUUCGUUCAUCUCCAUCUUGCAUGCGUUGACGAACGGUAGGACGAAGCUGGUUCUUCCCCAUCCGUCAAACUCCAACCAAGCCACACAUGCAAACUCCAAGCCGCGCAACCCGAGCUGCACGCGAGCUGUCAUCUAGGCCCGAGCCGUACGUAAGCCAUCCUCGCAUUCGAGCCACGCGCAAGCCAUCCUCUGCAUCCGAGCCGCAAGCUUACUUUUGGUUCUUUUUCCACCUAUUUUGAUUUAAUUGAAAGUUUUGAGCUGUGAAAUUGUUCCAACCAAGGAUAAAUUGGAUUCGACUUCAAUUUUGGGAUUUAUUCUUGGGAAGCUUACUGUGGCUGUUAGAAAUAUUUUUGGAUUAAGCUAAUCUCCAGGUGUUCCUUUAGGUUCACUGAAGAUCACAGAUGUUCCUACGAGAUCACAAAUUGCGCAUGUUCGGAAACGCGCCAGUUUAAGGGUACUACUUUGUAGGACUCUAAUAGGAAGUUAACAGACAACUACCAGGAUUAAUAGUAGGUCCCUUACUGAGUAUAUUGUUAUACUCACUCUUUAAAUGUUUAAUUUUUCGGGUAAAGGUAGAGUUAGAGGUAAAGGAAAGUUGGCGAAUAACAAGAAGUGACCAUGGCGUGCCAUAGAGAAAUGUUUUGCUUCCACCGUUAUGUUAUCAGUUUAAAUUUCAGUAUUUUUAUAUUUUCGUUAUUACUCUUUUAAAACUAGAUAGGGCCCGAGCUAGGAUUUUAUUUUAGAGGUUUAUUUCUACAUACAUUAGUUUAUUUAUGAUUUUAAUGAGUACUUGAAGUUUUGAUUAUGAAAAUUCGUUUUAUUUUCCAUUUUGUUUUAAGAAAGUUUUAUUUUCCUUUAAGUAGUAAAGACCUUAGUUUAGUAUAAAGAGUUAGGUCGUUACAUGUUGUCUUUCUCGUUUCAACACAUUUAUAUCCUAAUUUUUUUAAAUGAUUUUUUAAACUCUAACACUCAUAUUUACUUACCGUAUGAGUUUAAAUUUGCGUAUAAAACGACAUAUAAUUUAAGGCACAUACAUUUCUAACUAUGAACUUAUUGAAAAGAAAAGUAUACAUAGUUGGUUUGAAACAAAUUAAUAUCAAAGGGUUAAAUAAUUGAACUUUUUCAAGUUCAUAGGUAUAAAUAAAAUUAAUUUUGCACCUCAAACUCUAUGAUGAUUCAACAUUUUUUUUUUAUUCUUACUUUUUUGUGUGAAGUGUGUGAACUUAAUCGUCAAAAGUAGAAGAAAAUAACCAUUUUAAUAUGAUAAAGUUCUUAGAUAUUGAUAUGGAAAGAAUGGUAACGAAAAUGAGGGCCAGAAAUCAAAUAGGAACUGCUUAUAAUAUUUUUUUUUCUGACAAAAGAAAAAGAAAAAGAAAGAUGUUUGAUGUGUUUCACCAAAGUUCGAUUUGAUAAUAAAUGCAUGGCCAUUGAGUUCGACAAGUCGUAGUUGGUGUUGAAUCCUGUCAAGUAUGGGCCAACCCAAAACCUAUUCUACUACACUGCUAAAAAAUGUUUAUUGGGCCAUGUAAGCCCAAUCAAAUUUCAGCCCAUUUAAAACUUUAGAAGAUGAAAUUUGAGUUUGAUUUGCAUAAAAUAAAUGUAACCGUCAUAAAUAUGGAGUCAGUAGAUCUAACACAAUAUUGUACAUACAGCCAAAUAUUGAUUCAACCAUGUGAGAUCGUCGGUAGAAGUACUCUAUCAAUGAUAUAAACUAUAUCACUGCUAAAGAGUCUAUCUUUGAUUUUUUUUAUAAAAAAAAAUGUUGCUAUUGAACACAAUUUUUGGAAGGGAGAGAAGUAACUGGA